GAUGAACGCUGGCGGCGUGCCUAAUACAUGCAAGUCGAGCGAAUGGAUUAAGAGCUUGCUCUUAUGAAGUUAGCGGCGGACGGGUGAGUAACACGUGGGAAACCUGCCCAUAAGACUGGGAUAACUCCGGGAAACCGGGGCUAAUACCGGAUAACAUUUUGAACCGCAUGGUUCGAAAUUGAAAGGCGGCUUCGGCUGUCACUUAUGGCUGGACCCGCGUCGCAUUAGCUAGUUGGUGAGGUAACGGCGCACCAAGGCAACGAUGCGUAGCCGACCGGAGAGGGUGAUCGGCCACACUGGGACUGAGACACGGCCCAGACUCCUACGGGAGGCAGCAGUAGGGAAUCUUCCGCAAUGGACGAAAGUCUGACGGAGCAACGCCGCGUGAGUGAUGAAGGCUUUCGGGUCGUAAAACUCUGUUGUUAGGGAAGAACAAGUGCUAGUUGAAUAAGCUGGCACCUUGACGGUACCUAACCAGAAAGCCACGGCUAACUACGUGCCAGCCGCCGCCGUAA
rnacentral:rRNA from 1 species